rnacentral:rRNA from 1 species
AUUGAACGCUGGCGGCAUGCUUUACACAUGCAAGUCGAACGGUAACAGGGAGCUUGUUCCGCUGAGGGGUGGCGGACGGGCGAGUGAUAUAUGUGUGCGUACCCAAGAGUGGGGGAUAAAGAAGCACAGGAUACGCUAGCAACGCACACGAAACAAGGCAGGACGUGGGGGACCGACCGUCCUGCUGCUCCCGGAGAGGCGGACAUCGGAUUAGCUAGUUGGUGAGGUAAAGGCUCACCAAGGCAACGAUCAGUAGCUGGUCUGAGAGGACGACCAGCCACACUGGGACUGAGACACGGCCCAGACUCCUACGGGAGGCAGCAGUGGGGAAUUUUGGACAAUGGGGGCAACCCUGAUCCAGCAAUGCCGCGUGAGUGAAGAAGGCCUUCGGGUUGUAAAGCUCUUUUGUCAGGGAAGAAACGGGAGUGGCUAAUAUCCAUUUCUAAUGACGGUACCUGAAGAAUAAGCACCGGCUAACUACGUGCCAGCAGCCGCGGUAACAC